rnacentral:rRNA from 1 species
AUUGAACGCUGGCGGCAGGCCUAACACAUGCAAGUCGAGCGAGCGGCGGACGGGUGAGUAAUGUAUGGGGACUGCCCGAUAGAGGGGGAUAACAGCUGGAAACGGUAGCUAAUACCGCAUACUAUCGGAUAACCCAUAUGGGAUUAGCUAGUAGGUGAGGUAAUGGCUCACCUAGGCCACGAUCCCUAGCUGGUCUGAGAGGAUGAUCAGCCACACUGUGACUGAGACACGCACCAGACGCGUACGGAGGCAGCAGUGGGUAAUAUUGCACAAUGGGCGCAAGCCUGAUGCAUCCAUCCCGCUUGCAUGAAGAAGGCCCUAGGGUUGUAAAGUACUUUCAGUCGGGAGGCGUUGCCGUCAGAAGAAGCCCCGGCUAACUCCGUGCCAGCCGCCGCGGUAAUUC